rnacentral:rRNA from 1 species
UUAAGCGACUAAGCGUACACGGUGGAUGCCCUGGCAGUCAGAGGCGAUGAAGGACGUGCUAAUCUGCGAAAAGCGUCGGUAAGGUGAUAUGAACCGUUAUAACCGGCGAUGUCCGAAUGGGGAAACCCAGUGUGAUUCGUCACACUAUCGUUAACUGAAUACAUAGGUUAACGAGGCGAACCGGGGGAACUGAAACAUCUAAGUACCCCGAGGAAAAGAAAUCAACCGAGAUUCCCCCAGUAGCGGCGAGCGAACGGGGAGCAGCCCAGAGUCUGAAUCAGCUUGUGUGUUAGUGGAACGGUCUGGAAAGUCCGACGGUACAGGGUGAUAGUCCCGUACACCAAAAUGCACAGGUUGUGAACUCGAAGAGUAGGGCGGGACACGUGGUAUCCUGUCUGAAUAUGGGGGGACCAUCCUCCAAGGCUAAAUACUCCUGACUGACCGAUAGUGAACCAGUACCGUGAGGGAAAGGCGAAAAGAACCCCGGCGAGGGGAGUGAAAAAGAACCUGAAACCGUGUACGUACAAGCAGUGGGAGCACCUUCGGGUGUGACUGCGUACCUUUUGUAUAAUGGGUCAGCGACUUAUAUUCUGUAGCAAGGUUAACCGUAUAGGGGAGCCGCAGGGAAACCGAGUCUUAACUGGGCGUUAAGUUGCAGGGUAUAGACCCGAAACCCGGUGAUCUAGCCAUGGGCAGGUUGAAGGUUGGGUAACACUAACUGGAGGACCGAACCGACUAAUGUUGAAAAAUUAGCGGAUGACUUGUGGCUGGGGGUGAAAGGCCAAUCAAACCGGGAGAUAGCUGGUUCUCCCCGAAAGCUAUUUAGGUAGCGCCUCGUGAAUUCAUCUUCGGGGGUAGAGCACUGUUUCGGCUAGGGGGUCAUCCCGACUUACCAACCCGAUGCAAACUACGAAUACCGAAGAAUGUUAUCACGGGAGACACACGGCGGGUGCUAACGUCCGUCGUGAAGAGGGAAACAACCCAGACCGCCAGCUAAGGUCCCAAAGUCAUGGUUAAGUGGGAAACGAUGUGGGAAGGCACAGACAGCCAGGAUGUUGGCUUAGAAGCAGCCAUCAUUUAAAGAAAGCGUAAUAGCUCACUGGUCGAGUCGGCCUGCGCGGAAGAUGUAACGGGGCUAAACCAUGCACCGAAGCUGCGGCAGCGACACUAUGUGUUGUUGGGUAGGGGAGCGUUCUGUAAGCCUGCGAAGGUGACCUGUGAGGGUUGCUGGAGGUAUCAGAAGUGCGAAUGCUGACAUAAGUAACGAUAAAGCGGGUGAAAAGCCCGCUCGCCGGAAGACCAAGGGUUCCUGUCCAACGUUAAUCGGGGCAGGGUGAGUCGACCCCUAAGGCGAGGCCGAAAGGCGUAGUCGAUGGGAAACAGGUUAAUAUUCCUGUACUUGGUGUUACUGCGAAGGGGGGACGGAGAAGGCUAUGUUAGCCGGGCGACGGUUGUCCCGGUUUAAGCAUGUAGGCUGGUUAUCCAGGCAAAUCCGGAUAAUCAAGGCUGAGGUGUGAUGACGAGGCACUACGGUGCUGAAGUAACAAAUGCCCUGCUUCCAGGAAAAGCCUCUAAGCAUCAGGUAACAUUAAAUCGUACCCCAAACCGACACAGGUGGUCAGGUAGAGAAUACCAAGGCGCUUGAGAGAACUCGGGUGAAGGAACUAGGCAAAAUGGUGCCGUAACUUCGGGAGAAGGCACGCUGGUGUGUAGGUGAAGUCCCUGCGGAUGGAGCUGAGACCAGUCGAAGAUACCAGCUGGCUGCAACUGUUUAUUAAAAACACAGCACUGUGCAAACACGAAAGUGGACGUAUACGGUGUGACGCCUGCCCGGUGCCGGAAGGUUAAUUGAUGGGGUUAUCCGUAAGGAGAAGCUCUUGAUCGAAGCCCCGGUAAACGGCGGCCGUAACUAUAACGGUCCUAAGGUAGCGAAAUUCCUUGUCGGGUAAGUUCCGACCUGCACGAAUGGCGUAAUGAUGGCCAGGCUGUCUCCACCCGAGACUCAGUGAAAUUGAACUCGCUGUGAAGAUGCAGUGUACCCGCGGCAAGACGGAAAGACCCCGUGAACCUUUACUAUAGCUUGACACUGAACAUUGAGCCUUGAUGUGUAGGAUAGGUGGGAGGCUUUGAAGCGUGGACGCCAGUCUGCGUGGAGCCAACCUUGAAAUACCACCCUUUAAUGUUUGAUGUUCUAACGUUGGCCCCUUACCGGGGUUGCGGACAGUGUCUGGUGGGUAGUUUGACUGGGGCGGUCUCCUCCCAAAGCGUAACGGAGGAGCACGAAGGUUAGCUAAUCCUGGUCGGACAUCAGGAGGUUAGUGCAAUGGCAUAAGCUAGCUUGACUGCGAGCGUGACGGCGCGAGCAGGUGCGAAAGCAGGUCAUAGUGAUCCGGUGGUUCUGAAUGGAAGGGCCAUCGCUCAACGGAUAAAAGGUACUCCGGGGAUAACAGGCUGAUACCGCCCAAGAGUUCAUAUCGACGGCGGUGUUUGGCACCUCGAUGUCGGCUCAUCACAUCCUGGGGCUGAAGUAGGUCCCAAGGGUAUGGCUGUUCGCCAUUUAAAGUGGUACGCGAGCUGGGUUUAGAACGUCGUGAGACAGUUCGGUCCCUAUCUGCCGUGGGCGCUGGAGAAUUGAGGGGGGCUGCUCCUAGUACGAGAGGACCGGAGUGGACGCAUCACUGGUGUUCGGGUUGUCAUGCCAAUGGCACUGCCCGGUAGCUAAAUGCGGAAGAGAUAAGUGCUGAAAGCAUCUAAGCACGAAACUUGCCCCGAGAUGAGUUCUCCCUGAGACUUUAAGUCUCCUGAAGGAACGUUAAAGACGAUGACGUUGAUAGGCCGGGUGUGUAAGCGCAGCGAUGCGUUGAGCUAACCGGUACUAAUGAACCGUGAGGCUUAACCUU